ensembl:snRNA U6 U6 spliceosomal RNA
GUGCUCGCUUCGGCAGCACAUAUACUAAAAUUGGACCGAUACAGAGAAGAUUAGCAUGGCCCCUGCUCAAGGAUGACAUGCAAAAUCAUGAAGCGUUCCAUAUUUUU